CAGUCGAACGGACCCUUCGGGGUUAGUGGCGGACGGGUGAGUAACACGUGGGAACGUGCCUUUAGGUUCGGAAUAGCUCCUGGAAACGGGUGGUAAUGCCGAAUGUGCCCUUCGGGGGAAAGAUUUAUCGCCUUUAGAGCGGCCCGCGUCUGAUUAGCUAGUUGGUGAGGUAAUGGCUCACCAAGGCGACGAUCAGUAGCUGGUCUGAGAGGAUGACCAGCCACAUUGGGACUGAGACACGGCCCAAACUCCUACGGGAGGCAGCAGUGGGGAAUCUUGCGCAAUGGGCGAAAGCCUGACGCAGCCAUGCCGCGUGAAUGAUGAAGGUCUUAGGAUUGUAAAAUUCUUUCACCGGGGACGAUAAUGACGGUACCCGGAGAAGAAGCCCCGGCUAACUUCGUGCCAGCAGCCGCGGUAAUACGAAGGGGGCUAGCGUUGCUCGGAAUUACUGGGCGUAAAGGGCGCGUAGGCGGACAUUUAAGUCAGGGGUGAAAUCCCAGAGCUCAACUCUGGAACUGCCUUUGAUACUGGGUGUCUUGAGUGUGAGAGAGGUAUGUGGAACUCCGAGUGUAGAGGUGAAAUUCGUAGAUAUUCGGAAGAACACCAGUGGCGAAGGCGACAUACUGGCUCAUUACUGACGCUGAGGCGCGAAAGCGUGGGGAGCAAACAGGAUUAGAUACCCUGGUAGUCCACGCCGUAAACGAUGAUUGCUAGUUGUCGGGCUGCAUGCAGUUCGGUGACGCAGCUAACGCA
rnacentral:rRNA from 1 species